rnacentral:rRNA from 1 species
ACGCUGGCGGCACGCCUAACACAUGCAAGUCGAACGCAGUAGCAAUACUGAGUGGCAAACGGGUGAGUAUAAUGUGGGAAUCUGCCUUUUGGUUUGGAAUAACACGGGGAAACUUGUGCUAAUACCGAAUAAGCCUUUACAGGGAAAGUUUUAACGCCGAAAGAUGAGCCCGCACUUGAUUAGCUAGUUGGUAAGGUAAAAGCUUACCAAGGCAAUGAUCAAUAGCUGUUCUUAGAGGAAGACCAGCCACAUUGGGACUGAGACACGGCCCAGACUCCUACGGGAGGCAGCAGUGGGGAAUCUUGCACAAUGGGGGAAACCCUGAUGCAGCGAUGCCGCGUGAGUGAAGAAGGCCUUUGGGUUGUAAAACUCUUUCGUCGGGGAAGAAAAUGACUGUACCCGAAUAAGAAGGUCCGGCUAACUUCGUGCCAGCAGCCGCGGUAAUACGAAGGGACCUAGCGUAGUUCGGAAUUACUGGGCUUAAAGAGCUCGUAGGUGGUUAAAAAAGUUGAUGGUGAAAUCCCAAGGCUUAACCUUGGAACUGCCAUCAAAACUUUUUAGCUAGAGUGUGAUAGAGGUAAGUGGAAUUUCUAGUGUAGAGGUGAAAUUCGUAGAUAUUAGAAAGAACACCAAAUGCGAAGGCAACUUACUGGGUCACUACUGACACUGAGGAGCGAAAGCAUGGGUAGCGAAGAGGAUUAGAUACCCUCGUAGUCCAUGCCGUAAACGAUGUGUGCUAGACGUUGGAAAUAUAUUUUUCAGUGUCGCAGCGAAAGCAUUAAGCACACCGCCUGGGGAGUACG